UGCUAUUGACUAAACCAAACUGUGUGACC
rnacentral:piRNA from 1 species